UGGGGAAUCUUGCGCAAUGGGCGAAAGCCUGACGCAGCAACGCCGCGUGGAGGACGAAGGCCUUCUCGGUUGUAAACUCCUUUCGGCAGGGACGAAAACACUGACGGUACCUGCAGAAGAAGCCCCGGCCAACUACGUGCCAGCAGCCGCGGUAAUACGUAGGGGGCGAGCGUUGUCCGGAUUUAUUGGGCGUAAAGAGCUCGUAGGCGGCUUGGUUAGUUGGGUGUGAAAUCUCCAGGCUCAACCUGGAGGGGCCACCCAAUACUGCCAUGGCUAGAGUCCGGUAGGGGGCCACGGAAUUCCUGGUGUAGCGGUGAAAUGCGCAGAGAUCAGGAGGAACACCGGUGGCGAAGGCGGUGGCCUGGGCCGGAACUGACGCUGAGGAGCGAAAGCGUGGGGAGCGAACAGGAUUAGAUACCCCCGUAGUCC
rnacentral:rRNA from 1 species